AUUGAACGCUGGCGGCAGGCCUAACACAUGCAAGUCGAGCGGAUGAGUGGAGCUUGCUCCAUGAUUCAGCGGCGGACGGGUGAGUAAUGCCUAGGAAUCUGCCUGGUAGUGGGGGACAACGUUUCGAAAGGAACGCUAAUACCGCAUACGUCCUACGGGAGAGAGUGGGGGAUCUUCGGACCUCACGCUAUCAGAUGAGCCUAGGUCGUGUUAGCUAGUUGGUGAGGUAAAGGCUCACCAAGGCGACGAUCCGUAACUGGUCUGAGAGGAUGAUCGGCCACACUGGAACUGAGACACGGUGCAGACUCCUACUGGAGGCAGCAGUGGGGAAUAUUGGACAAUGGGCGAAAGCCUGUUCCAGCCAUGCCGCGUGUGUGAAGAAGGUCUUCGGAUUGUAAGGCACUUUAAGUUGGGAGGAAGGGCAGUAAGUUAAUACCUUGCUGUUUUGACGUUACCAACAGAAUAAGCACCGGCUAACUUCGUGCCAGCCGCCGCCGUAACAC
rnacentral:rRNA from 1 species